CCUACGGGAGGCAGCAGUGAGGAAUAUUGGUCAAUGGGCGCGAGCCUGAACCAGCCAAGUAGCGUGAAGGAUGACUGCCCUACGGGUUGUAAACUUCUUUUAUAAAGGAAUAAAGUGAGGCACGUGUGCCUUUUUGUAUGUACUUUAUGAAUAAGGAUCGGCUAACUCCGUGCCAGCAGCCGCGGUAAUACGGGGGAUGCAAGCGUUAUCCGGAUUUAUUGGGUUUAAAGGGUGCGUAGGCUGUGAGGUAAGUCAGCGGUGAAAUGCCCCCGCUCAACGGGGUGAAGUGCCAUUGAUACUGCCUUGCUGGAAUGCGGAUGCCGUGGGAGGAAUGUGUGGUGUAGCGGUGAAAUGCAUAGAUAUCACACAGAACACCGAUUGCGAAGGCAUCUCACGAAUCCGCGAUUGACGCUGAUGCACGAAAGCGUGGGUAUCAAACAGGAUUAGAUACCCUUGUAGUC
rnacentral:rRNA from 1 species